ACGUACUAGCCCUUACCCCGAUCUUAAUAAAAAAAAAAAAAAUCCCUGCUCUACAGAAGCAGCCACCAAAUAUUUCCUUACAGAAGCAACCACAUCUAUAAUUCUCAUGAUAGGUAUCCUUUCCAAUAACCUGUCCUCCAGACAAUGAACAAUAAUAAACACUAUUCAUCAAUUUUCAUCCUUAAUACUAAUGGCCAUAGUAAUAAAACUAGGAAUAGCCCCCUUUCACUUCUGAGUCCCAGAGGUAACCCAAGGAACCUCUCUAAUGUCUGGCAUACUUCUCCUCACAUGACAAAAACUAGCCUCUAUCUUGAUUAUGUUUCAAAUUUUCCCAUCAACAAACACGAACAUUCUCUUAUCUACCACAAUCCUAUCCAUUAUAGUGGGCGGUUGAGGAGGACGUAACCAAAUACAUCUGCGUAAAUUCCUAGCUUACUCCUCAAUCACUCACAUAAGUUGAAUAAUAGCAGUACUAAUCUAUAAUCCAAACAUUACCAUUCUAAACCUGAUUAUUUACUUUAUCUUAAAGUAAAUAAUUUUACUUACACUCAACCUGAGUGUAAGCACCACAAGCCUGUCACUAUCUUACACCUGAAACAAAUUAACAUGGUUGCUACCUAUAAUUCCACUAAUUUUACUAUCCCUAGGAGGUUUACCUCCAUUAACAGAGUUCCUGCCUAAAUGAAUCAUCAUCCAAGAAUUGACAAAAAGCAACAGCCUUAUUACCCCAACCAUUAUAGCUACCAUAACCCUACUCAACCUGUACUUUUACAUAAACCUAAUUUAUUCCAUCUCAGUGACACUAUUCCCCACAACUAAUAAUAUGAAAAUAAAAUGACAAUUCGAAAAUACAAAACCCAUAGUACUCUUCCCCCAACUUGUCAUCUCUUCUGACAUCCUCUUACCCAUCUCUCCAUUAAUACUAACUGUA
rnacentral:lncRNA from 1 species